AUUGAACGCUGGCGGCAUGCCUUACACAUGCAAGUCGAACGGCAGCACGGGGGCAACCCUGGUGGCGAGUGGCGAACGGGUGAGUAAUGCAUCGGAACGUGUCCUCUUGUGGGGGAUAACCAGUCGAAAGAUUGGCUAAUACCGCAUGAGAUCGAGAGAUGAAAGCGGGGGACCCGAGGGUAACUUCGGGCCUCGCGCGAGAGGAGCGGCCGAUGCCGGAUUAGCUAGUUGGUGGGGUAAGAGCCUACCAAGCGACGAUCCGUAGCUGGUCUGAGAGGACGACCAGCCACACUGGGACUGAGACACGGCCCAGACUCCUACGGGAGGCAGCAGUGGGGAAUUUUGGACAAUGGGCGCAAGCCUGAUCCAGCCAUGCCGCGUGUGUGAAGAAGGCCU
rnacentral:rRNA from 1 species